rnacentral:rRNA from 1 species
CCUACGGGAGGCAGCAGUGGGGAAUCUUGCGCAAUGGGCGAAAGCCUGACGCAGCGACGCCGCGUGGGGGAAGAAGGCCUUCGGGUUGUAAACCUCUUUCAGCAGGGACGAAGCCACUCGGGUUAAUAGCCCAGAGGGUGACGGUACCUGCAGAAGAAGCCCCGGCUAACUACGUGCCAGCAGCCGCGGUAAUACGUAGGGGGCAAGCGUUGUCCGGAUUUAUUGGGCGUAAAGAGCGUGUAGGCGGCCAGACAAGUCCGUUGUGAAAACUAGAGGCUUAACCUCUAGACGUCGAUGGAAACUGUUUGGCUAGAGUCCGGAAGAGGAGAAUGGAAUUCCUGGUGUAGCGGUGAAAUGCGCAGAUAUCAGGAAGAACACCCGUGGCUAAGGCGGUUCUCUAGUACGGUACUGACGCUGAGACGCGAAAGCGUGGGGAGCGAACAGGAUUAGAUACCCUGGUAGUCCACGCCGUAAACGAUGGGUGCUAGGUGUGGGGGGUGUCGACUCCCUCCGUGCCGAAGCUAACGCAUUAAGCACCCCGCCUGGGGAGUACGGCCGCAAGGCUAAAACUUAAAGGAAUUGACGG